UCAUCUUCAACUACAAGCAAAUCCCUGUCAAUUGUCGCCCCUAUCACCCUCACCUCUCUCUCUUUCUUAUCUCUGAAAUCUCACAGACCUCGAGCCUCGAUUGCUGACUUUGACUUAGAGGAAUUCUCUAUUUCUUGCCAAAACUCUAAUCUAAAUCAGGUCAUAAAUUCGAAUUCGGAAUUUGGGGGUAUGUCUUCCUCCCACUGGUAUUUUCCUUCAACUUGCUCAAUCAAUCUCUCAUACCCCGCUCAAACGGUUAUUUUUGAAAUUCAAAGUAUUACCUUCCCCUAUAAAUAGGGAUUGAGGGGAAGAAGGCAAAGGGGGAUUCUUUGGGCAAAAAAUGGGGAUUCGGGAGGAGCGUAUUCAAACGUCGAUCCCGACGAAAAAAUGGAUUCCGAAGAAUCAAAAAUUUGCGUUGGAAGUCCGUCGUCCGUCGUCAAGGCUCGUCGCCCCAGUUCCUGCCCGGAAACAGGUACAAAGUGAUAUAAGGAAAUAUGUCUUUGAUAGCCUCGAACAAUUGUGACUACGACAUAGGAGACUAUGAUUGUGGUGAAGAUAGUUAUGGCUAUAAAGAAGAUGGAUAUUAUGGGGGUUAUGAAAGUAGCCAUGAUUAAGAGAUGGAUGAAAAUGAGGGCUACUAUUCCGAAGGAAAAUGUGAGAUGAAUGAUGAUCCUAGUUCUUAUAGUGAGUAUGGAGAUGAUGAAGAGCCUUUUGAUGGUUCUUAUGAGGAAGAUGGGACAUGUGAGGAGUAUUACACUUUCCACUCCGAGCCUACAGGUGAUAUAAGGUAUUACUUGUUCAUUUACAAAUCUUAUGAUGAUCAUGGUGAGAAUGUAUGCGAGGUUUAUAAAGUU